CCCCGGGAUUCAAGGAGAAGCCCUUCCCUCUGCCCGCCUCACCCCAAGGCCCAGCUGGCCGGGCUCCACAGGGCAUCUGACCUGUGGAUUCAAGGGGGCGACACAGCAUGUAGUACCUUUCAUCCCAAGGGAACCAGUGAGCAAACCUGUUUACAAGCUUUGGUGGAAUGAUUUAACUCUCCUUUGUUGUACAUGAGCAAAAAUAAUUAAAGGUUUUUUCAUAACCAGCACUUGCAGCCCGUUCUGCUUCCCACUGCUGCAAAGUCCUUUCCUGGAGCUUAAACAGUUGAGCCUGAAACUCUGGAAGGCCACAUCACCCACUGACCACACAGCAAACCCUGAUGUGCAACUGAAGCUGUGAAUGAACGUGAAAGGCUGCCAGAGAAGAGCCACAAUUUGCAGGUGAAAAUCAGCGAAAUCUCACUGCCCUAUACAGCAAAGCAUUAGGAUUCAUAGACAAUCUGUCCGACUUUGAGAGGAGACUGUCCAUGCAUUUUGAUGUCACAAAUGUCUUGGAAACCAGAUGUCCGGAAUAUCUAUGUGUUGUUAGCAGGCCAGAAGAGUUUCUUGUCCACUGAGAACCUUGCUUUGCCUCUGUAACCUGAUAGGGUUUACCUGACCAAAGAGAAUUUGCUUCAUACAUAGAGGUGGGUAUUGCCAGGCCUGGUAAAGACCUGAGAUCUUCCGAGGUUUGGAGCUUUGUAUACUGUGGGAACAACUUUACUGCACUGUGCUUUAAGGCCUUUGUAAAAGAACCAACAGGGGUGGAAAAAAAGGCAUGGCUCUGAGGGGCUCAAUCAGCCCUCCCCAGUGCAGUUUUUAUACUUCGUGAUGGGGUGGCAGUGGGUAUCUGUCAGCUGAGUCCUACUUUCCCUUUCCUUUCACCUGUGCUGCCCCUGGUAGCUUUGCACCCUUUCCCUGAGUCUGUGGAAUCCUCUGUCUGUGCACCACAAAGCCUUGAUGCUCCUGUAAGAUAAGCAGAAGGGUAUGUGAGAGGCUGGACUACUCCCUGCCAGCUCAAAGCUCAAACUACUCCCUGGCAGCUCAAAGCAGAGCAGCUUGUGGCUGAAGAGAUGGCAG
rnacentral:lncRNA from 1 species